rnacentral:rRNA from 1 species
UACGGAGGGUGCGAGCGUUGUCCGGAAUCACUGGGCGUAAAGAGCUCGUAGGUGGCGGGUCACGUCGGGUGUGAAAGCCCGGGGCUUAACCCCGGGUCUGCAUUCGAUACGGGUCUGCUGGGGUCCGGCAGGGGAGACUGGAAUUCCUGGUGUAGCGGUGAAAUGCGCAGAUAUCAGGAGGAACACCGGUGGCGAAGGCGGGUCUCUGGGCCGGUACCGACGCUGAGGAGCGAAAGCGUGGGGAGCGAACAGG